UACGGGAGGCAGCAGUGAGGAAUAUUGGUCAAUGGGCGCGAGCCUGAACCAGCCAAGUCGCGUGAAGGAUGAAGGUUCUAUGGAUUGUAAACUUCUUUUGUCUGAGGGUAAAGUGUGCCACGUGUGGCAUUUUGUAUGUACCUUACGAAUAAGCAUCGGCUAAUUCCGUGCCAGCAGCCGCGGUAAU
rnacentral:rRNA from 1 species